AGCAGCCGCGGUAAUUCCAGCUCCAAUAGCGUAUAUUAAAGUUGUUGCAGUUAAAAAGCUCGUAGUUGAAUUUCGGGAUCAAGGAAUCGGUCAUGCCUUGGUAUGUACUGGUUUUAUUGGUUCUCACCUUCUAAAGAACCAUAAUGUCAUUCAUUUGAUGUUAUGGGAAUU
rnacentral:rRNA from 1 species